AGAAUGUUUAAUAAUUUAUGUAAAGAAUUCCAUAUUUCUGAAUGUUUAGAUUUACACAGAAAGAAUAACACAAAAAAUAUUUGUUUCUGUGCAGUCAUUUUCCCAGCACACAUUCCCCAGAGUGGAGUCACUGUGUCAACAGGUGCUGACAUUUUCAGGGCUGUGGUCUGGAUUCCAGAUUGCUCUCUAGGGAGGUGGCUGCAGCGUGUGUUAUCCAGCACCCUUGGAAUGGGGCUGUGGCCAGAGUCCACAUCUUCCUGCUGGUGACAGACCUUCUCAAAACCCAGGCUAACAUGUAAAAUGGACAUCUGGCCGGGAGAAAUCGAGGCACAAAGGAGACACAGAAGACAUGUCUGCUGCUGGCAGCACCAGUAGUCUUCUUCAAAACAGGAUGAUGGACAUCAAAGAACCUCCAUAUGGUGUUUUCUUUUAUUGUGGUAAAGUUAGCCACUGAGCAAGAACCUGCCCUUGCUUCUACUGCUGACAGUAUGCUGCCCUGCAAUGGAUUUUCUUUUACUCUUUUCCCAUGUUAGAAUGCCCAAACGUUGUUGUUGUUUUUUCCCCUCUUUGGCUAUUUGCUCUUGGGAGGCCCACCACCCAGCUCCCAAAUAAAUGACGCAUGAGUUUUGUUCUUA